rnacentral:misc_RNA from 1 species
AGCGCCGGACUCUUCGGCCAAAAGAUUUCAUCCCGCGAAUAAAAUCGUGCGUGUCGCUGCGUGGGAGAAUGGAAAGAGCUCGACAGGCAAGUACGAUCGCACUCGUUUAUGUAGACGAACAUAACGCGUACUCUCGGCUAGCAUUUGCAUCGUCGAAACGACCAGCUCGCAUAACCGAAAGCUCGUCGACGAGGGCGAUCGACCAGCCCGUGCCUCCGACGACAAAUAUACGCGCGAACAUUCCCCAUUCACGUAGGGCUGCGAACAUCUGGAUACUGUUUCAUCGACUUAACUCGACGGUUAUAAGCCCGUGAAAGCAAGAAACACCGGCAAG